AGCUGGAGAAUGACGGUGUUAAAAGUCUCCUGCGCAAGUUCUCUCAGAGCCCGAAGAGGUUAAGGGUUAAACCUGAACUCUGCCGCCAAAUGCAAAGAGUGGUCCUCUGUUGGCUCGUGAUUGAAAUAGCAUAUUUUUCCAUGCGUUAUGAACCUUCAGCCUCUGCCACUGGAGAUAUAGAGGUAAACGGCACGGUUUCUGCCUCCAAGAUCUAACAAUCUAAUGGGAAGAUGGUCACUGGAAAAGCUAACUGUAAUGUAGGUGAUGAAGAGCAUUCUAAAGUUUGGGGACAAGUACCAGCCACUGUCCACUUCCCAGCACUGAUAGUCCCUCAGUGCUGAAGAGCAAGCAGAGGAAUGU